UAGGAACUUUAUACCGUGCUCU
rnacentral:miRNA from 1 species